rnacentral:rRNA from 1 species
GUGGGGAAUAUUGCACAAUGGGCGCAAGCCUGAUGCAGCAACGCCGCGUGAGGGAUGACGGCCUUCGGGUUGUAAACCUCUUUUAGCAGGGAAGAAGCGAAAGUGACGGUACCUGCAGAAAAAGCGCCGGCUAACUACGUGCCAGCAGCCGCGGUAAUACGUAGGGCGCAAGCGUUGUCCGGAAUUAUUGGGCGUAAAGAGCUCGUAGGCGGUUUGUCGCGUCUGCUGUGAAAGCCCGAGGCUCAACCUCGGGCCUGCAGUGGGUACGGGCAGACUAGAGUGCGGUAGGGGAGAAUGGAACUCCUGGUGUAGCGGUGGAAUGCGCAGAUAUCAGGAAGAACACCAAUGGCGAAGGCAGUUCUCUGGGCCGUAACUGACGCUGAGGAGCGAAAGCAUGGGGAGCGAACAGGAUUAGAAACCCCUGUAGUCC